rnacentral:rRNA from 1 species
AUACGGAAGGUCCGGGCGUUAUCCGGAUUUAUUGGGUUUAAAGGGAGCGCAGGCGGAGAUGCAAGCGUGACGUCAAAUUUCGGGGCUCAACCCCGUCUCGCGUCGCGAACUGCGUCCCUUGGUUGCGGGAAGGGCAGCCGGAACUCGUGGGGCAGCGGGGAAAUGCAUAGAUAUCACGAAGAACUCCGAUCGCGAAGGCAGCCUUCCGGCCCGUCAACGACGCUCAUGCUCGAAGGUGCGGGUAUCAAACAGGAUUAGAUACCCUGGUAGUCCGCACAGUAAACGAUGGACACCCGCGGUUUGGCCUGUAUGGCUGAGCCGCCAAGCGAAAGCGUUAAGUGUCCCACCUGGGGAGUACGCCGGCAACGGUGAAACUCAAAUGAAUUGGCGGGG